rnacentral:rRNA from 1 species
CGCAUACNAUCUUCGGGAUGAAAGCGGGGGAUCGCAAGACCUCGCGCGAUUGGAGCGGCUGAUAUCAGAUUAGGUAGUUGGUGGGGUAAAGGCUCACCAAGCCGACGAUCUGUAGCUGGUCUGAGAGGACGACCAGCCACACUGGGACUGAGACACGGCCCAGACUCCUACGGGAGGCAGCAGUGGGGAAUUUUGGACAAUGGGCGCAAGCCUGAUCCACCAUGCCGCGUGCAGGAUGAAGCCUUCGGGUUGUAAACUGCUUUUGUACGGAACGAAAAGUUUGGCCUAAUAAGCUGGACCCAUGACGGUACCGUAAGAAUAANCACCGGCUAACUACGUGCCAGCACCGCGGUAAUACGUANGGUGCGAGCGUUAAUCGGAAUUCUGGGGCGUAAAGCGUGCGCAGGCGGUUAUGUAAGACANAUGUGAAAUCCCCCGGCUCAACCUGGGAACUGCAUUAGUGACUGCAUAACUNGAGUA